rnacentral:sRNA from 1 species
GGCUGCUCUUACAAAAUAACCAAAUUUAGAUUUAGAUGGUUUGUACACAUGCUGUAAGGCAGUUGAACAUUAUGCCUGUAAACAUCCAUCUUCUCAAGUCAAGAGUUUCUGAUCCAGGCACUCACUAGAAGCUGCUUCAUCUGAUUUUAUAUAAAAUUUUGUGAACGUUUUUAAAAGAUGGUUAUUCUAAGUAUGUGAAUAAUGAUAAACAUUGUAGUAAUUUUCUCACAAAAUUUGUCAAAGAAACAUUCACCUCGUGUUAAAAUUACGUCAAUACCAUCAUGGUUGCAUUACAACUUUGACAUUGCUUUAAAUAAAGGUCAAUGUUCAGGC